ensembl:lncRNA
GGGGGUAUAAUGAUGGCAACAUGUAGUCCUGGAGACGACUACACUAUGGGGAAGCAGGCGGUUUCGAGGUACUUCGCCAGGUGCUGAGGGCCUCACUCGUGAACCCUUUUUGGUGAAGGUGUCCCCUCGUGUGUAGUGUCUUAUUCACUCCCUUUUUGCUUUACCCUUGUGUGUGUUUUGGAGUGUUAAAGAGUGGAUUGUGGUGCUCCAAUUUUAAGUUUAUACCUUCACCCCCCCCCCCCCCCACCCUCUCACCUUCAGCACGAAGGCCCCAGCCCUGGAAAAACACGACGUCCGGUGUGGUAGGGCAGCCGCCUGUUGAAUCCGGUUUUCCUUUGGGUUAAAUGCCCUGGACAACACCCACCAUUUACACUUUAC